AGACAGAGAGAGAGAGAGAGGGGUCUGCAGGUGAGAGAUGACAUGUGUAUAUAUAUAUAUAUAUAUAUAUAUAUAUAUAUAUAGAGAGAGAGAGAGAGAGAGAGAGAGAGAGAGAGAGAGAGAGAGGGGGGUCUGCAGGUGAGAGAUGACAUGUGUAUAUAUAUAUAUAUAUAUAUAGAGAGAGAGAGAGAGAGAGAGAGAAAAGAGAAGAUGAUUGAUGGAAUGUGUGUUUGGAAUAGGCAGUAUUUUAUGUAGCCAAAGAGGUAUACGAUGCACGUGUCACGUAGGUAUCCAUGUGAGGCGGAAAGUAGGUCGCCUUCGACAUUGGCAUGCAGUGGCGGCCACCACGAAUCAACUGGAGAUCAAAGCUAACCUUGCAGCAACAUGCGGAUGGCAAUGGCGGACGAACUGUCGUCCGCCACACGCACUCAUUGCAGGGGUUGAAGUGGCUCUGCCUCCUCUCGUCCUCAGCCGUCCUCGACGAGAAGUGUGCAUGGCAGAUAGAUGCGCACCAGACGUGGAUCAGUUGUUGUUGUGCACCUGGUCAAACCAUGCACUCAUGCACGAGCAAUGUGGCAGCUUGUGAGAGCUUCCUUUUGUUGGUAGUGCUGUUCUAUUUCUGGGCAAGCUCAAUACCGUCUCUUUUGAUGCGAAACAAGAGACAGUUUGUCAUCGAGUCGAAAUGGUUGUGUGGUAGCAGUCGUUUCGACGAUGAUCAUCAGUUUACUCAUGAUCAGCCACAUGAGCCUUGAGACGAUCAUGAGUCCGUCCCCUUCAUUGCUUGUUUACUUCGAUCUGAGGGCUGAUGAGAGGCAGACAAACUGUGAUGCAGAGCACAGCCCCAACUCAGACUCGUUCUUGAGCCCAAGUAAUUAUUUGGGAAGGGAUAGAUUCUCUCGUGAUUUUGGCUGCUGGAAGCUGUCUGAAGUGACAGUUCGUUGGACUAACAACAACAACAACAACGUCUCUCUCAUUGGAUUCUCCUUUUCGUGUUGUCAGCGUCCGACACCGAUUGAUAUCUAAACACUUGUCUUCCUUGUUGUUCUUAGCGGUUUGUUUCUACUCAACUGUGCACUCCACAGGGCAAGGAUGGCAGUUCUCGACCAGACCUGCAAUAUUCCUGCCUAAUUAUGUCUCUUUCCUCUCCCAACUCUUUCCACCAUUGAUUGCAAUGUUAGCGCAGCAUCCUUCCUUUUGCUUCUUACCUGUGUUUAAGCAAGAAGGAAAAGCUUCUGUUCUGUUUGAUCAUGGAAAUCUUUCCGAGGUAAAUGUUCUCUCUGUCAGUGACCAGGGUCCAGGAGAUGCCCACCUUCAUCCCUGUAUCUUGAACUUCCUCCUGACAUCUAAGCGUAUGAUUAGUACGGUGAGACGUAUCAGCAAUGUUUUGCACAUGGAAACAUGAAGGCCGAGCAUGCUAAUUAAAGAGAAAGGGUGAUUUAAAUGACACAACAUCUCUUAGUACUCUGAUUCAUGGUGGAACAAACAAUCCAUUUAGACCAAACCAUACGAGAGACAUACACCGUUCAAGAACGGACAUGAGAACCAUCGUGACUCGGUUGGGCAGGCAGGCAGGCAGCGUUAUCGACCUUGAAGCUAAACUUGCUUGUUCCCCUUGAUGGAUAGCCCGAAAUGGAUCUCGGGGAAGUGUGCCCACUGCAAGUUGACAGAAAGCUGCAUGAAUCACAAUCGUUGAAGAUGUAGAACAGUUAUGGCUAAGGAACUUGAAGACACCGAUGCCUGGUCUCACGAUGUGGAAGAGCUCGUUGCAUCAAGAGAUAAAAGGCUAUCUACCACGAACUGGUCCUGUCUUUCCAGUCAUCCUCUAUUUGACAAUGUAGGUGAAAUUUUGGAGACCAACCAUCAAGAUUAAUCAAGACCUAAAUAGCAAGCAAGUCGGUAUGCUACGCACUCGAGGAAUAGAUCCUUCCUCAACUACAAUCCUCUGAUCAAUAUGCGUUAGCGAUCCGGGCACCGUGUAUUCAUGUCCUAUAUUUGCAAUAGUUCACCGAAUGAAUCAUUGUAGAUUGUGAGAUUAGCUCUGCAGCUUCAUUCAUUCACAUAUCGCCUUGAUGAUUCAACCAUGUCGUCUUCGGUCAAUGCCUACCGGAAAUAUGGAUUCUACUGAUUUGUUCGAGGAUGGAUGAGUAUUCAGCGUGCAAAAACAGGAGGAAGAGGAAGCAUUGCGGUGAUGGUGAUGGCUGAGUGGAGGCAGCGGAUCGAGGAGGGCUUUAAUCCUGGAAACGUAAAGUGGGCAACUAUGAUGGAGGAGAAGGAAAGAUGAUGAUGGAAGCGGAGGCGAUGGUGGAGUAGAUCGUGAUGGAGGAGGUGGAGGAUGAGAUCGAACGGGGCGAGACACGAGGCAGAUGGGAUCAAAGUGAUGGCAAUGAAGAAGAUGAAGAGAGGUCGAAUGGAUGACAAAGUCGAAGUGACCCAUCCAUUAAAGCCUUGUUGGUCGGAAAACAUACUCUGAUCGUUGAUUCCUUCAAGCCCAAGUGCUCAGCUCGCAGCUUCCAUUCUGCACUCUCUCUGAUAUAAUCCUCUCAUGUCUGAUAAGCAACACUUUGCAGCAAAUUUAAAGUGAAAAUGGCUGUAAAUUUAAGCUAAGGGUUUAUCUUAUCAUUUUCAUUUAGAGGACCAAUUCGUCUAGCAUAUAUCUUUACUUUCUGCUAAUUAAAUCUUCAUCAUUUGUGGCUUAAUUCUCAGCAACACUAGUAAUGCUUACAUUUUUUGCUGCCGUGCUGAAAGCUUCCUUGUGGCUAAUGUUGGGAUUUUUCGCCUUCAGCCGCUGAAUCUCCUCCCUGCGUAAGAAAAGUUCUCGAUAUCACUGAUGAUAGCAAUACGUAAUCCAACUUUAUUUAGGUCGAGGAACUUACUUGAUGAAUCUGUUAUAGGCAGAAGGAGCACGUCGCUUCUCGGUGGACGCUUCCAGGAAGAUGAAAAGAAUCAGACACGAAUGGUUGUUUCAAGAAUCAGACAUGAAGAAGAAGAAGAAGAAUUGAAUUUAUGAACUUUUGCGUGUGUAUGCAUAGAAUGUGGUGUCGCAGAAAGGCUUACGAUGGAUCAGCUGCAUUUGUUGUUGAACGAAAUCCAUCGAGCUCAUCACUGAUAGGCUGGUGCGGGUGGAAGAAGAUCCGGAAUCCAUGUGAAGGUGUUGAGAUCCAAGGUUAUGACUCUGCACUUUGUUUUCAGUGAAUUAAGAGUAAAAAAUAAAAAGUUCAUCAUCACCAUAUACAUAUGGGAGAUGUUAUCUUUGUGCUGACAUUUGAGAUGAAAUAAUUCUUGGGUGCUACUUGAUGAGAAGAGAAAACAUUGUUCAUGUCCAAGGAGCAUCACAGAUGAAUUGUCUAGACUGCAGGUUUUCUUGAUGAGAAGAGAAAAACAUUGUUCAUGUCCAUUGUUCAUGUCCAUGGAGAUCAAUCCAUUUUCUCCAAGUGUUUGCAUAUCUAUCCCUAUUUCAAUUGAUGUUGAGCUAUAAACAGUUAAAUCUUGCAACAAGUAAUCAUCUCAAGCUUUCGAUGAACCGAUUGCAGUCGAAACACAAUAUGUCAUCAGUGAAUCUUCAUUGAUCCAACAUUUGCCGCACGUCAUGAGUUUUUCUAGCAUUCCUUCCUUUAUCAGCGUCGAAAAAAAGGCUAAAUCACAAAGAUCUAUAAACAUAAUAAGCAAAAAAAAAGUUGCAUUUGCAUACACUAAAUAAUUAACGUAUGCAAUUCUGCACAGAUCUAUAAACAAGUAAAUAAGAACAAAUUGUGGGUGCAAAAGAACACGAAGUACUGUGCAAAUCAUGAAGAAAUCAUAAGCCAAAGUAGGGGUGUGUUAACCUGAAGAUUCUGAAGUGGGAGUUUUCCAAGCAAGGCUUCAAGAUUCACAUACAGGAUAUUAGCACAAAGGCCACAUCUUACCGUGACAAUGUUGAAUGAGUUGUCGUGAGGGACAUUAACCUGAAGUAAGAAGAGAAGGAAUACAUGAGAUGAACAAUAAGCACACUUUUCUCUUUGGCUUUGGGACAACGAAGAGAGAGAGAGUGUGUGUGUGUGUGUCAAGUACUAGAUUUGUAGUCACCGAGGAGGUCAUUGGUUUGCACUAAUUAUGUUACAUUCGUGCAUUACUUUUCUCUGAACAAAAUGCACAAGACACGAGAUAGCAAUCGGUACUCGGUGCUGGUUCUGAAGAACACUCGCUGUAAGAAAUGAAGAGAGAAGCAGAAGAAAAGAGAGAACUAGGGUUUCGGAUCCAGCUUCUCCUUGGAGUCGUGACAAAGCCAGCCCAAGCAACCAUGCUAGUUUUGGGAGCUUUGCAGCGAACUAGGGUUUCAGAUGGCUUAGAGAUUUAGGAUCAAAGAAUCUGAUGAAGAAGAGUGUCAAGUUUCAUGGCUAAAUGAUGGGCUCAAUUGGUUUCAUGCUUACUGCAACAGCUCCCAGGGUGAAGGACAUGUAACAUGCGCAUGCAUGGAGUCACCUGCACUAUGAGAUCUCGCAGAAGAGCUCUUCUCAGAGAUUAGGGUGUAGAAAGGUUUGGCUGCACCGGAGACCCCACAUGUUCAUGUCGAAUAUAUUCCUUCUGGCAGGGCUCAAAAAGGACAAGAACAAACUCUUGAUCGUUUAUACCCUAAAACUUGGGUCCUCAGAUCAUGAUGACCAUCCUGAAAGUUUACUGCAUCUGGUUGUAAUUUAGUCGAUAAAUCUCCCUUAAAGAUGAAGCAAAGUUGAUACAUACAUAAUAGACAUACACUGAUAUCUCUCAUCUCAGUAGAGCUGCUUUGGGUAGGUAAUAUGAUGAUGGGUGAGAAGGUAAAGAAAAGCGAAGAGAGCGAGAGGGAGGGAGGCUGUGCAGAAUAUACCACUAGAACAGUGUUGCAGAAGCUGCAACCGACGUAGCAAACUUGAUCGGGCAAGACAUGGCCGGACGACAUCUCCGAUGACAGAGGGAAUUGAGAAGUCGGGGAUAUGUAGGCUAAGGGUGGAAGAGAGAUGAUGGAAAGAGCGGAAGAGAGAAGAGGAUGAGAAGUAGAACAGAUAAGAGCGAUGGCAUCAUAUUAAUUGCAAGAUGGAAGUCACGGGUAAAGGAGGGGGGGAUGAAUAAAAGGGAGGAGGAGUUGUACGGGAACGUAAGCCCAGCCAAACAUUUCUCAGGUUGAAUGGGAUGUGCCAUGGGAAUGUGGAAAACAAGGUAGAAGAAGUACAAUCAAUGUAAUGAUUGACUGAAAUGAGUGAAUGGGAGUGUGUUCUUCUCUCUCUCUCUCUCUCUCUCUCUCUCUUAGUUUUAACAUUUCAGAAGAUUAAUCUUGACUUUACUAUAUUAUUUUACCACAUUUAUUUUCUGAAUUAUUUUUUGAACGGUGGAUGAAAAAGUUGUCACAGAUCGUGAGUCCUACGAAAAGAUUGGAUACAUAUAUUAAUACAACAAUAUCUGAAAAUUGAAAAACCCUUAAUUAUAUGUAAUAGUUUUUCCGAAGAUAAUUUUACAUUUCUCAUUUGAUGCUCAUAUUUCUUUAAUAACCUAAAUGUUUCUCGCUUUCGUCGUAUCACGAAAGCCUCCUUCUCUUUGCGAUGCCUAUUGUUUUCUUGCUUUUGUCUUGCUAUAGAUGUCUCAAUAAAAGAAAGUCAGAAUAGAUGAGAAGAAACAAAAAUUCAGAAUAUAAAUAGGAAAGAAAAGAAGAAAAGAAAAUCAAAGCACGAAGAAGAGAGAAGAAAAGAAAAUAGGGCGAAGAUGACAAAACAAAGAUGAUGACAUUUAGGGUAUUAGAGCGAAAAGAGGCACCAAACAAGAAAACGAAAGGAUCACCCAUAAUUUUUUUUUAUAAAAGAUUAUAUAUGACACCAACACCUUCAAUAACAAAAAUUAAAAGUUCUUUAAGGAUUUGUAGAAACUCUUUCUAGGAGUAUUAUGCUCAAAAAAGAAACAGAACAUGCUAUAAGAUGGAACAUGGGAUGGGAUGAAAAGUAAUCCAUUUAGAGGAGGAGAAUUGGAUUCAAUGUCUGAGACUUCAUAAGCAGUACACCCUCAGCAUGAGAAUGAGAAUGCACCCAAGUCGAGGAAACGAAGAAGAAAGGAGAUAGAAAUCAACAAUGACCUUGUAUCGUUCACACGAAUACGCUUCAACCCAUGAGAUGUCGUAUCAGAUUGGAGGGUUUGGCUCCACAAGCUUGUCGCAAUCAUUGAGAAAAAUAGGUGCAGCAGUUCACUGACCUUGUUCUUUACGCUUCAAAUCAAUAACCAUUUUGCUUCCUUCUCCGGAUCAAUUAAUUGUUGGGUUGACAUUGUUCCUAUGCAUGAAGAACAUAAUAAUUAUUCACAGUCAGAAGAAGAAAAAAAAUUGAAAAAAAAGAAAAGUUCGCUUAAUUAAUUUGUUGUAAUCUAUCACUAGUAAGUAAGUUGCACCUGAAUCAUCUUAAACCACUUUAUGCUACUAAAAAUCAGAAUAGACAAAAUUUAUUUGGCGUACCUUGCAGUCUCUGGACGCACUUCAACAUAACUCCAGUACGGUAUAGUUGGCAGUGAGGAGUGCGAGAUUCCAAUGCUGGAAAGCUACUUUCUUGUUCUUUAAUAAGAAGACUCUACAAUGACAUGACCUCAGAGAUGGUACACGUUAGAUUGCGGACACAGUUCUUGUCCCUUUCUCGAAGAUAGUGCCGAGAUGAAGCUAACCUUUUAUCUCAUCUCCUGGUUUCUUCUCUGCUGCUUCAUGCCACUGGGAGAUAUUACUGCAAUUAAAACCAAAAUUAAAAUUAAUAAUAAUAAUUCCUUCCAUUCAAACACUCAACCACUACAAUGUCUGUCUCAUUACCGAGAGAAUCGGGUGAGCACAAACUCCAACAUGUGUUGCUGUGGAUGGGGCAGAGACAAACUGAGGGACAGCAGAAUCAUCAUGCCACUUUGUAUCUUCGUUUUUCUAGCCUUACUGGGACUUCAGGUGUUCCCACGAAAGAGAGAGCUCAAUGCACCAUCUGAUUUCGAGGAAUCCGAUGCCUUGUUUGGCCUCAAGAAGAAAGGGCGAUGUGUGUUGCAGCAACCGAUGGAUGGGUACAUUGGGCGUGGAACCAUCACUGUCGGAGUAGAUAUCUGAGUAAAAGGACAUGCUACGAACACAGACACAGGAGGGUGACGAAGACAACUAGAGUCAUACAAUGCAAUGUAAAUAUUAUCCCUGAAUUCAACCAUCAAGAUUAAUUUUCCAGAGACCACUACGAAUAACGAGUGUGCACCAGCUUCAUUUAUUCGAUGCUUUAACAGAGAAAAACCGAUUACAAACAUAAUCCAAAAGCAUGGCAAGAGCUCACUAUUUCAUGGCCGCGGAAGGAUUCGGCGUUCCAGGCUUGGAGUUACUGUCCGAGACCCAGAGCACUGGAGCAGGAAAUCAAGUGCCUACCAAAAUACUCCCCCCGUUAGUACAAUUGAACCAAAAUUGCAGCAAUUUAAAUAAGCAUGCCUCAUUAUUGGAAUGAUAGCUAUUAUUACUUCAGCAGGCCAAAGCCCUUAAAACAUUACUAACAUUAGAUAUCUUCCUUUUCUUUUUCAUGAGCACAAGAAUCUAGCUUUACAUUGAUACGAUCAAAUCCAAACAGAAUUUGCCAAAAGCCUGAACACACUGGCAUCUUUGAAACCAUAUUUAAGGGAAUCAAAUCAGGAAUAACCAAAACUCCAUUUGAUAUGCAUCAGGAAAAGUACAAAAUGAGCCUUCCCCUGAAAUAUGUGGGAUGAAGGAUAUUUUUCUCAAACUGGCGGUCAAUGAUGGCAGCAAUAUGUGCACUUCGAAUUACUUGCAAACCACAUGACGCUUUACAGAAUAUUGCUGCCCUUCAUAUCAUAUAUCUUGCUAUUGAGGCUUUACCAGUCCCUUUCUCCAAGCAUGCUCCUUCAGCUUCCCUGAUGAUGGACCUGAGUAGGCAUGCCAACAAAAGACAUGCUUCUUGUGUGGGAUAUGCCUCGUCUGGUUUCACAAUGUCCAUUCUCCAGAGCAGCCAACUCAAGGCCAGUAAAAUUACGCAAAUAUAGCUUAGGCAUCUGAGCUGCUGGUUUGGACCCUCUGGUAGAAGAGCACAUAUGCAGCAGAUGACUUUAUGAUGUCCUCAGAUAUAGGAAGAACAUGCUGAUCAUCAAAAUCGUACCAACACCUCUCACCUUCAUGCUACAGAAGAAACUCAGUAUCAACAAAAUUAUUAAAUUUGCAUCUUUAAUGUUUAAAACGAAAGUAGAUUUUUUUUUAGAUGCAAUGAGAUCUGGGAAGUUCUCACACAAGACUGCAGAAAACCAAAUAUAAUGAAAUUGAAAAGUCAUAGGUGCUUAUCCACACAAGUGAUGUGUUUCAACUUUUUUGUUAUUUUGACAAAAACAGACAACAUAUUGUUCAAUGUGAAAUGCACAUUUUCAUCUUGUCUCUCAUCUAUUUUUCUACAUAAUAUUUCUUGAUCAAUUGUCAAACAAUGUUUCGUUUCAGUAAAUGUCAUCACAGCAUUAAAUCAAACACAAGAACUUUAACUGCAAAGAGAAUAAACAUGUAACUUACAUAAAUAUAUGCAGUGUAGUGACCACCUCCCAUGUUGCCAUAGUGGUUGCUGACUGCAUAUAAUCGAUAAACGGAUGACCCUCUGGACUUGCAGGCAAUAUAGCUUGAUAAAUCCAGGUCACAGAUUGGGAAGUCUACAAACAUCUCCAGCUUGUUAUUAAUGAACCUACUAUAUGAAAAUCUCUUUAGAUGAAUAAUGAGAACCUCUGGCAGCCUCCAAAGGUCCAACUUCUUACAAGCUUGCUGAUGUUUUUUGCAACUUGGACAAUACCUGCAAUGAAGUGGUCAAAUACCAUGGAUUUAUCUACCAGAAUAAAAAGAUAAAUUCUAGAACUAUGAUGAUGUUCAAAAUUUUCAGAUAUCAUGUACCUUAGCAAGUUCCACUCCAAACAACUUAAGAUUGACAUGCCAUCAGUCUUUUUUUUUUCUUCAUUAAUUCGUGUAACAUGUAUUUAUAUCCAAUGAGUUGCAAGACACUGAUAACCAUGCCUAAUUUUGAACAUAUAAAUUAUUCUCUCCCUGACUUUAGAAACUACAGCCUACUUCAACUUAGUUGUGACCGAACAAACUUCAAGGGUUUUUUAGCAGUCAUAUACUGAUAUAUUAAGCAUUUCUUAAGAUCUUUGCUCGAUGCAGAAGAUCUACUGGUAAGUUCUACCUACUUGAUAUGGAGUGAUUUGCAAAAAAAAAAAAGAUACUGAGAAAUAUACUGACCACAUAUCUUCUGGUCCGAGUGGUUCCUCCUUCAGAAAUGCUUCAAGACACGAAUAGAGGGAGACAGACUCCUGAGGCCGCUUAGCAAAAAGUCCAAACUUAUAAACCUCAGUUAAGGUAUUCAGAAGGUCUAUAUCAUACUGUCCCAUUGUUUUCUCAUGCCAACAGACAAGCACAUACAGCUUUCGCUGAUAACCUGUGAGGGAAAUUGAAUCAUCCAUUUCUAUCUUUGAAAGCAUCGCCUGACAGUUCUCAUCCGUGAGAUAAAACUGAAAUCCAUCAUGGAAGUAUUUUCCUUCUUCUGUCCUUUCAAAAUCCAGGAGAUGGGAGUCCUCGUCUAUCUUAGCAAUCUCAUUAAUAGAAUUACUGCUAUCUUGCUCAAUGUCGAAAGAAGAUUCUUUUGGAAUGAGAAAUGGAUUAAGGAGCUUCAAGAACAGGUCAACGAUAGUGGAUCCUGUGCUAGCAUUUGGUAGCCUAGCGAUAAGGGGGACGCCAAAUGACUUCCAACGUUUAUCUGUCGAGCUAUUGAAAUAUUGCCUGGAAAAGAAGUUUAUCACAAAACAGCAAUAAAAAUUAUUAUCCUAAAGUAAGUCUAUAAUAGUUAGAGAGAAUGAAUGGCAAUACAACAACCAAGAAGGCAGAAUUCAACAUGACCACACAUUUAACUGGACACAGCUUAAAGAACUACACAGAGAAUAAAGCAUGCCGAAGACCUAAAGUGCCAUACAGUAUCAGAUACACCAAAACGUGUGUAUUGACUGUGCAAUUUGAAGGGAUGCAUGAUUGUUGGCAUAUAAACCAUUUCCCAUGCUCCUUGCAGCAUAAAAUUGACAUUAGUCAAAUUACCUGUGCUGUCUUAAGAUUGUUGUUACAACAAAAGAACUGAUGUAGUACAACCAGCACUACUUGCCUCAUAACAGCCUUACUGGCCAUUCUAGCUCAGUAAUCCAGUGAAGUGAUAACUUAUGUGUCAAUUAAAUAUCUCAUAAGCUAAGCCCAAUCAAAAAAAAAAAAAUCUCAUAAUCAGCAAUGAAUUUGAAGUUUAAGCAACAACUAGAUCCAAACAAUAAAUCCAAUGUUUUGGACAUGUUCCAUAGGCAUCAGAUUAUUAAAAGACCUGGGACUUCACCAAUAUGAAGAAUUUAGACUGAUAUUCAACUUCAGGGUUACGGAAAUUGAAGUAAUGAAAGUGGCUUUUCACCAUCAUUAAAAAUUGUGAUACGUCAAUCUUACUCAUCCAUGCUUUGAUGCAUAAACACAAUCAGUGGAAGAUCUUCAGGAUCUUUUGAAAGCCUGUAUGCUGCAAGCUGAUCUCCAUCUCUAAUCAAGGAAAGUGAAUCAGAAGGGUCCUCAAGGAAUCGAAUAACUUGAUUGCAGAAAACCUGCAAAAUGUUUCUAUUGGCAGAUAAGUCAAACAGAAAUAUCAGAUAACUCUUAGCCAAGGCAUCAUUUCUGUUGCCAAAGCAGUAGAGUCAGUAAAAUGUUAAAUAACAUACCUCAGCAACUAACAAGCUCUCAUCAUGCUUCAGUGAACAAGCAAUGCUUAAAGCUUGAACUAAAUCCUUGCAGUUACCGGAUUUUGGCACAUUUACAGUAUAUGAAGAUGGCCUGCUGAGACCAUCAGUACUGAAGACGGUAACAGUCAUUGUCCGCACUGUUGUAGACGGAAGGGGCAAAGAUAAAUACAUGAAUGGGUCAAAUGUAACUGAUGAUUUAUUGCAAACUGGACAUACCAAAGUUGAUCUGUACUGACCCUGUAAAACAUCAACCAUUCCAAAUGUAAUAAAAGUAACUGAAAGAAAGCAUAAUGAUGAUGCAAGACAGUCCAAAUGCCUUACAUGAACAUAUAGUGAUCUAAAUCAUGCAACCUAAUUAUGCUUAAGUUUCACAAAACAUUUUCAUAGUUCAUACAGAAAAAUAAACAGGCAGCAAAAUUCAACUUAUUUAAAUGUUCUCCUCCUUAGUUUAUAACAUCAACCAUUCUCCUACAUUUCUUCCAUGCAGCUUACAUACCUCCUUCCUGGACACAAACCUUCCUCACAUUUAUUCAUAAAUUAAAAACCCUCCCUAUGUAAAUAACUUCCGCCCUAUAUCACUCCCAAAUGUCAAUUAUAGAAUCCUAGCCAAGGUCUUAACAAACAGAUUGAAACCUCUCCUUCAGAAAUUAAUUAGUCCUGAGCAGUCUUUCCUCCGUGGUAAAAAUAUUCAUGAUAAUAUUUUGAUUGCUCAAGAAGCUGCUCACACUAUGCAUUCCUCUGAAGGCAAGAACCCUCUUAUUCUUGUUAAAUUAGAUCUUGAAAAAACUUUCGACAGAUUAUCUUGGACUGCUAUUAUCAAUGUCCUUUCUUCCAUGAAUUUCCCUUCUUUAUUUAUCAAAUGGAUAACAGCUUGUAUUUCUUCACCCACAUUCUCGUCUUAUAAAUGGUGAAAUUUCUGAGACUUUUAUCAGUCAUUGUGGGGUCAGACAAGGUGAUCCAUUGUCACCUUAUAUAUACAUUUUAGUUGCUCAGAUUCUAACUCAGCUGUUAAAUCAAGCAACUAGAAACCGAAGUCUUACUCCCCUUAGUUUCAAUUAUGAUUGUAAAAUAAUUCAUAUUAUGUUUGUUGGUGACAUUUUACUCUGUUUUAGGGCUAAUCCUAAGUCUUGCACUACUAUUAAACGAGUCAUCAAAAUUUAUGAGGAAAUGACCAAUCAAAAAAUCAGUCAUUCUAAAUCUGCGAUUUAUUUUCCUAAAUCUACUCCAAGAUCCACUUAAAACCAGAUCUGUUCUAACCUUGGAUUUAAAGAAGGUUCAUUUCCUUUUAAGCAUAUAGGUGCAACUAUUGCUCCUAGAAGAAUUCCUCAAUCGACUCAUGUGGAAACUCUUAAUAAAAUCAAAGCUAAACUUGCAAUUUGGAAAUGUAAUCAUCUUUCACAAGCUGGCAGAUUGGUCUUAGUUAAAUCUGUUUCGACUUCUAUUCCUUUACACACUCUCAGUGUUACUUGGCUGCAAGAUAGUUUCCUCCAUAAGAUUCAAACACUAAUAAAUAAUCUUCUUUGGCAAAAUAAUCCUCAAACCAAAGGCCUCCAUCUUAUUAAUUGGAACACUGUCACCUCACAUAAAGACCAAGGUGGUCUUAACAUUCAGGACAUCACUUUUUUCAGAAUUACUUUACAAGCUACCAGAAUCCAGCGAUAUCUUAAUGACGAUGGUAGCUUAUGGAGUACUAUUCUUUACACUAAAUAUGGUAAUGUACACCUUUGGAACAUUCCUAAAUAUCAUCAAUCCAGUUGGAGUUUGAAACAGUUCACCCGAGCCAUGAAUGACCUUAAAGAAUUUUUUUUAUACAAAUAGGUAAUGAACAUUCUACAUGUUUUCUUACAUGUCCUUGGCAUUUUAAUAUACCUUUGAAUUGUAUUCCUACUUAACUCAAUAUUAUACUAAGAUUAAUGUGCUAAUCCAAUCUAAUAGCUGGAAUACCCAGUUGCUAUUGGAUAUGUGCACACCUAAUUUAAUUUCUGUCAUUAAGGCUAUAGAGAUUGCUCAGUUCCCUUGUGAGGAUAAAUGAAUUCGAAAGGAUCAUCAAUUAGGGAAAGCAACAGCAACAAGUGCAUAUCAUUUCUUGCACCCCAAACCUGAAUCAUGCUGGUAUGGUUGGCUCAGUCUUUGGCAGCUCCCAGUUAUUACUAGAGUUCAUACUUUUUGCUGGAAACUAUUGCAUCGACGUUUACGUAUUACUUACUGUUUUCUUCAUUUGCAUUUUAUUGUUCAAUAUUUGUUUGUUCCCUUUGCCUUUCUCACCCAAAAACCAUUGAUCAUCUAUUUUUUCAAUGCCAUUUUUCCACCAGAAUUUGGAAUUUUUGGGAAACAAACCUCAAACUCUCAUUCCAAUAUAAACCUACCUGGAACAUUGGUGAAUGAUUAAAGGAAGGCACUAUUCUAGGAAUGGGAAAGCUGCAAUAGCAAACCAGCCUUGGUUCAUUUGGAAUUUGUGGAAUGAUGCACACUUUAACAGGAAAAAGACUUACAUUAUGUGAGCCAGGGCUCAAGCUUUGGCUCAUUCUAUCUAUUAUGCUAGAAGCACUUUAUCUGAAGGGAAGAGACUGACUAACUCUAUAAGUUUCAAAUGGCAAAAACCAAAUGCAGGUUGGCAGAAGCUCAACACUAACGGUGCGUCCCUUUUGCAGGAUGGGGGCAUGGGGUUCAUCAUCAGAAAUCAUCUUGGAGACUGCCAGGCAGAAGGACAACAAUAUAUUCAAGGCAAAUCUGAUGACCAUGCAAUUAAAAUAGGUCUUAAGGUAGCAAUUUCCAGAAAAAUUACUCAUCUAACACUUGAAAGUGACUCUUCUUCCAUUGUCGAUCGGCUGAACAAAGAUAAAACUGUUCCUUAGGUUAUUACUCACACCAUCAAUGAUAUUAAAUAACUGCUGCAUCAGCUAACACUCAUACACCAUUAGCCACUGUUUUUGGGAAUGCAAACAAGCAGCAGAAUGGGCCGCUAAAUGUGCUAGAGUUAAUAAAAUCCGUUGUCUAUGGACUGAUUCAUUGUCUCUUCCACUGGAGCUCUCCUCCAUUCUGUAUAAAGACCUUCAUGGGUCUUAUUGUAGAACUAUGACAAGUUCAUAAAUUUUCGUUUUAUUGCCAAAGAAAAGCUAUUGGUUGUAUGGUAGAAUUGAGGAGAAAAGAUGUUCAGUUUUUCAGAAUCAUCAAGCAUGAUAUGUAAAGAAUUUUAAAUCACCAAAAUAAUGGAUACUAACAUGACAAAGGUCCACUAUAAUGGAGUCAUUACGAGCAAAAUGAUUACUCCAGUACUCAUCUGCUACUUCUUCAUCCGGACGUCCAGAUGCAUCCUUAAUUUCAAAAUAAGGUUUGUUUUUUAUACGGUUCAGAUCUUCGUGAAGCCCAUCUAACAGAAAGGCUAGAAGUUCCUGCAGAGAAACCAUGGAAGUCAACAAAUGAAUUAUCCCUUUCCAAUCAGUUCCAAUUUUUGGAAUAAAAGUUAGAGACUAAUUCUAGCACACACAUAACAGAUGAAAAACAUUACUCACUUGACAAUCAUGUUGGCUAAAUCCAUAGAAUUGUGGGGCAAAAGAAGCAAGCUUUGCUUUGAAAACAUGUGGAGCAAUCGGUGUGUUUUCUGGAGCCCACAGCUUCCUCAGCAGUUGUCCAAAUGCUGAAGCAAGCUCACCCUGGAAAAUGAGAGGCAAUACUUGUGACUCUCAAACAAAUGCUCUUUUAAUGCUGAAAAUGUGAAAGAAAAUAGAAAAAUAUUUUAAAAUAGAAAUAGAAAAAAGUGAGGAUUUUUCAGUUUCUUGUUCAUACAUAAAAUACGAGUGAAAAACAAUAGGUACAUAAUUUUUAUUCAAAAUCAACACCUUUUUGAGGAAAUAUAAUUGGAUGGUCAGAAGUUUCAGUACAGAAUUAGUAUUAGAUUUUCUUAUCUAAUGCAUCCUUGUAUGUGUAUAACCUCAUAUGGAUGCCCUGAACAAGUGUAUGAGGCCUCAAAAUGAAGUAUUAUUAUAUAUGUGAAAUCUGUUGCACAUAUGUGAUCUGCAUAAGUAUGAUAUGAUCACAUAUGUAGUUAACUACUCUGUAUUUUCUUCUUAUAAGUAUUACUUCAAGCAAAACAAGUUUCGUGAUUCUAUUAUCUAUGGUACAUUACUAUGAUACAUUUCAUAGACCUUCCUUCAUUUCUUAUUAGCAAUCAUAUAUGCUAUGUUGCCCUGCAUAUGCACCAUGUGAUAUCUUCACCCACAUAUUAUACAAUCACUUCCAAGACAUUUACCCUUCUCCCUUUUCUUGAAGAACCAAACAGGAGAAAAGAAUAUCCAUCCCUAUCAUACUUUUAUUUCUUUUCAUUUACUUGUGAACCAAAACAGUCCUAACUGGUUUUUGGACUAUAUACAUAAUAUCCUACUUGCACCAAGGCCAACAACUUCAUAAGAAAGGAUAUUUUUUUCACAAGCUCAUGAAGAUACUCAAAUAUUAAAAGAAAAUAGCCAUCAGAGUGUCAACCUACAUGCAGCCCUAGUGGGUUGUGAUGAUUUAUUUCUUUACUGUAGUCUCCAAGGAAAUAGCGAACAAGCUUUGGUGUGUGAGCUAAGCACUGGAUAGCACUGUUCAUAAAGCAUGUAUUCCCAAGAUUGUCCAAUCCUGUCAGACCUGUAGAAUUUGAUCUGAUGGAGCUUCCACUUAACUGAACAUCAAAGUCCAUACUUUCUAGGCUUCCAUUGCUCAUAAAUAAAACACCAUGAGAAGAUCCUAUCAUCUUUGAAUUUUGAACAGUUGGCCUAUCCUUUUUGCUUUCAUGAUUAUGAGCCACAGAUCCCGAUGAGGCAUAUAUUUGAAUCUCUAGAAGAAUCUGCAACAGAGCAAGAGGAAAGAUAUUAAGAAAUAUUUUCGUGGGAAUAAUUUUGACAUUUUGUGCAUAUUAUAUAAGAUUGCUUACCACAUGCUAUUAGAUAUUUAUUUAUACUGUGAUAUACAAAAAAUACCAUCUACUUGUUGUGGUAACCAUUAAUUAUAUAUCAUGUCAAAUCAUCAGGAGAAAAGCACCUUAGUUUAAGCCUUAAAGGUAAACCCCAUGUACACAUGACAAAAGUGUAAUUGACUAAAAGCUAAUAACUCCAGAGAACAUGCAUUUUUCAUCUGUCAUUAUAACACAUAAUCGAAACAUUUCAUGAAUAAAUAAGCACAUUUUUGUCCACCUUGAAUCACGUUUAUAAUUUUGGCAUAACUACUUUUCACAAAUGAUGACACCCUAUUAGUCCACAUAUUUGUCAAGCACUGAAGUGAUUUUUUUUUUGUUGUUGUAUAAAGAGCAGAUUGACCAGUAUGGUAGUAAUAGCUAAGAAUAAGUAGAUUUACCAGUUAAGACAUUUUUCAUUGAGUGACUUCACAUAUUACAUUACAGUUCUACUAAGAAGUCUUAACUACUUUUGGCAUAACUACUUUUCACAAAUGAUGACACCCUAAUCCCUAUUACUCCACAUAUUUGUAUAACACUGAAGUGAUUUUUUUUUGUUGCACAAAGAGCAGAUUGACCAAUAUGGUAGUAAUAGAUAAGAAUAAGUAGAUUCAUUUUUAACUGAGUGACUUCACAUAUUACAUUACAGUUCUACUAAGAAGUCGAUUUGGGCAUCAACAAUUUAUCAUCCCCAAAAAUUUGCUGUUAUAGACACAAAAAAAGUUGUUUCCUUUUAAUUUGCACUACACACAAAUUUAGAGGUUGCCCAGAAAUGAAGUUGUGUCUGGCCUUUGACAUGUUUGAAGCAAAUGGAGAACUACUUAGAGCAGUUUCUUGACUUCUUGUUUUAGGCAAAAAAGAUGAGCAUUAAAUAGUAAGUUAAGAAGUUAACACAAACUAGUAUAUAACCAACAGGAUUUCUAUGUAAAAGUAUGUUACAAGUGCAUAAAUACAGUUUGUCGAGAAACUCUCCAUUUUUAAAACUGAAGCAGAAAAACAUGUCCUACUUACCUCAUUUUCUAAUUGGUGUCGUCCAUCCUGAAGCAUCCCAUUCCACCCAUUCAUUAUGAUAAAAUUUAUUUGUCCAGAAAAAUCCCAAAUAUAGACCUAGUCCAGACAGAAGUUGAAGUGAACAAGGCAACUAUACGCGAUUACAAGAUUUUCUACUGGCAGAGUGCUAUCAGUAACUUACCACUUCAGAAUCAACAGGGAACAGCUUGCACGCCGUGUUGUAAUUCUCAUUAUUGUUGUCCUGAAUGACAAAUAUGUAUUAGAGCUUGCACAAAUUAGAUCAGUUACCUAUACAAUAAAAAACCAGCAAUAAGUAUCUUUCCAACUAUAGAGACCAAACUAGAUGUAAUCAUCCUGGAAUAAAGCUAAGACCUCAAUUAGUACAAGGGCCAUUAUGCUUUAAUUAUUUUCACCAAGUACAUUUCCUUUCUCUCUGUCGGUAUCUCUAGUUUUAAAGGUCUUCCUUGGAACAUAUAAAAAGCAACAUAUCUAAAUCAAUUGCUCAAAAUCUUUUAGGUCUAACUAACCCACUUGAAUAGUUUAGUCAUAGCAUCCCUUCUUCCAAUUUGAGGACUAAUAAUCAACAGAUUAGCUGAUGAAUCAACAUUGGUAAAGUAAUGUAUUCAAGCAAACUAGAAUUCUUUUAUAACAAGAAAAGGAUGGAAACAGUAAUGCAUAAAGAGGUCAAUAGAGCAUAAAAAUGUCACUGAAAGGCAUGGAAAAAAAUACAGAUUAUCGAUUAGCAACUUUUUUAAACUUCAUUUUAGUGUUUAGCACUAGUAACAUUACUCCGGCCUUGGACAAGCAACGCAUGUUGCUUUUAGGUCUAGCGAUACAAUGAAGGAUAUUGCUUGUUGAUAAUGACGAUGAUGAGUGUAUAAGACAUGUAGUAAAACGUUAAAAACAAAUGUCUCUCGUUCGCAUGUCUUGAUACUUUCGUUUUUGACAAAAUAAGACCUCACAUUUCUGUCUCUCUAGUCUUUCACCUCAGUGAUCUUAUUUUGUGAAACAAAUGGUGAUAGGUGCAGAGAGCUGCAAUAUUUUAUCUGAUAAGCAUCACACAGGACCAGACAUUUUGCAGUUGUGUUACCAGAAAUCUUGAAAUUCUUAGAUAUAUUGGGCAACAUUUCUUGCCAAAUUUGGAAAUCUAACAAAGACCAUUUUUAUCAGAAACAGAGUUCUCUCGGCGUAAAACUAGUUUCAUCUACAAACAAUUGAAAUGUUGCCAUACACAAACAUGGCAGGAUGGUCAAGAAAAAAUGGGGAUAUCAAGACAGACCUUCGUGCAGAUCUUUACAGUCAAAACAUUUGUUCCCUGGACAGCAGAAAUCCUGAGCAUCACAGGAUAGACAUCAUCUGCAGCAUCUUCUGACAAGGACGAGGUUCCACUGUUCUCCAUUUUCGAGCUGGGUUCAUUGUGCCUAGAGAGGAAACACGGGGGAUGGAGAGUAAGAGGCAAAGCCCGAAACAACAUAAUACGCCUAGAUCAACUUUAUCUAAUCUACCCCAACAACUCGUAGCCCUUUUUGUUCCGCCUUUAACAGCGUAAAGAAACGAUAACGACACAUCAACGAUCGUUGAGGAGGAAGGAAAUUAGGGAAAUCAAAUGAAGCAGCACCGCAUUCGAUCGAGCAUCAAGAAAAGACACAGGAUACCCUGCUUCCGUUCAAACCGAGCCUUGCAAUCUCACCAUCGGAUGGCCAACGACCACAUAUCGCCCCGGAUCAAAGCGUAGCAGCGGCCGGAACCCCCCUCGCCCUCCGCAACACCCCGGUUCAACUCGCCGUCGUCGCGACGCUGAAGGUCGAAGACGAGAUCGGAUCCAACGGAGGCGGCCGAGGAAGACGCGGCGGGCGCCGCUGCGUACGGGGUCCCCUCCGCCCCGUCGGCCGAUUCCCGAUCGGACGCUCGCGCCGCCCUCCACCAUCUGACGAGAAGCAAAUCGAGAGUGAGCGAUCGAAGCCACGGAAGGGGAAGGGAGGAAGGUACCCACGGAGGGGGGGGACUCACCGGUAAGGGACGAGGUAGACCGUGCCGUCCAUUGGCUACCAGGGGCAGAAGGAAGCGGUUUAGGGCGACGAAGAAGAGGCGAAGGGGGAUCGAAGUUGAAAGAUGAGGAUGAGAUAUGGAGUCAAAGAGAUGACACGAGGAGUGGAUUGCGAGCUUUGGAAGGGUACGGCGCCGGCGGUGCCGACCGAGCGAUGUAGUGGAGAGAAUGAAACAAAGAAACGGAAAUAAUUGCGAUAAAAGUUGGCUGCCACCAUUUGAUUAGUCGAUUUCACUGAACAUGUGAUAAUAAUUUUUAGUUGUGAAAAAUAUAUUUAUUUAUUUAUUUCUUGCGCGAUUUUCAUGUAAAAAAUCUUUUCUUUUUUUUUAAUCCGCCAAUCGAGCGUAAAGGGAAAUGAAAGAAGAGGGGACGAAAGCAAUAUAAAGCAACGAAGGAUAUUAAAAGAAAACGAUACUAAAUGAAAAAAAUAAUAAAAAUAAAAACUGAAGUUAGUUAUUUUUUAAAGAAAAAAAAAGAGUUUCUUUAAAGAAAAAUCAUUUUUUUUAUUUUUUUUUUAUAAAAAGAUGGGAGAGUAAAAGAGGCAAUAAAUGAGGAGUGAAUGGUUGGUUUCCGUUAACUGCUUGCUGCCAACCUUGAGCUGCUGCUGCAUUGUGUGUGUGGGAAAGCUUCGCUUUUCGUAGCUUGGAAAUGAUUUGAUAUCAUAAACAAGGAUGGAUGUUGAUCUUUGUCCUGAUGUAAUUUUCUUUCUCUUACUUAAAUUUGUUUAGAAUAAAAAAUGAACCCCCAAAACCAGGCAUUGAAAUGCAUGCAAAUACGAAAGAUGAAUGUGUAAGAUUACUUGGAUUGAAAAUAAAUUGGAAAAAUAUAUCGCUACAUACGCCAUUCAAUAAUGGGAAAUGACAAAUAUGAAUUCGGAUUGUAAUAUCAUGUCGGAUAUCUAAUGCACAUAUAUUUCGAUUAGUAGUAUAACCAAAAAAAGGGGGGGUGGGAGGGGAAACAAAUGAUCCCAAACAUGAAAUGUAAUGUAUGAAUCGACAAACUUGCUUCAAGAUCCAAAACCAUGAGAUUCGAACCCAUAAUGUCUGACCAGGUCAAAUCUUAGAACAGCCCAAGCACACCAAUGUUUUUGUAUUCAAUAUACGAGAAUCCAAUCUGGUUCGGUAAACCCAAUGCUGAAAUCAAAGUUGAAGCAUGUCAACUGCUUGUCCUCCUCUCCAAGGAUCUUCAUGAUCAGUGUGUAUGAACCCUGUGAUGUGGAAGAAGAUAAAAAGAAGGAAACAUGUUGUGUUGGUUGAUCCUUCUGAAUCCAUGUGUCACAAAACAAGUAACAGCGACAAAGAUUAAAGAUCAGAAAUAGGUAGGUAGGUAGGUUGACUUACUGGUGGAGUGAAUGAUGGGAGCGUCUGUUGAUGGGAUAGCCGGAAGUCACCGGUGGAAACUGGGCAAGACGUCUCUUUGCAGAGGUCAAGCGUCUCCUGGUGGAUGUGCAUGCCAAAAUACUUGACAUCGAUCACCAGUUUCCCUUUGUUUAUGUCACCCCCUGCAUCACAAUCUCAAAGCCUCGAUCAUGCCACUGCUGCAUUAGAGAGGAGCCUUUAUCUCAUAGAUCAUGUCUUUUUGUAUCUCAUCACCACGAGAACAGCACAGGAGAACGAGUAAAAACCAGUGUCGAGCUUACCAGUGAUUGCUGAUAUCUUGAAGGUAGCAGGUUGGCCUCGCUCAAUCGGGUUGGGAUUUAUCUCGACCCCCUUGACCGUCACCUGGUAGCUGGCUUUCUUGUCUGUAAAAUUAUUUGAGAGAUCACAAUCUAUCUCAAUUUAAGAGGAAUUCCUGAAAUAUGUCAUCCGAUCACACGGAACCAAACAGAUUCGUGAGCGUAGAUGAGGAAAUCUUUCUUCUUCUUCUCCCAAAAGAAAGAAAGGAGUAAUCGAUUUGGAAACAGUUUAAAUGGUGUAAGAAAGAAAGUGAGGCGAAGGCGAUCACCGCAAUACUCGAUCUGGUUGGUGUGGACGGGACAGGCAAGGAGAAGGCACGUAGCCGCCGUUACGACGCAGAAGAGAAGGAAGAACGACAUGAUGUUCGCGGUGCAGUUGUGUUCGAGAACGUAAGAGAUAUGAAGGUGACGACGAGAAGAGUAGUGUUCUUGUGGGGAACGAGGUCGUGAUGGAAUGGAAUCCUUCUUUAGCUUUGCUUGUAAUAGGCAAAAAGGUUUGCUACUGCCAACGUAGCCUCACAACAAAAGAAAUCCCAGCCAAAGAUUUGCUGUCCUUUCUCCACCUCCUCAGAUCUCUGUCGUGGUAGAUUGAGCUUUGCGUUUAUGAAUGGGAGUACACAAAACAAAGAUAUUAGUACGAUGGUGGGUCUUCUUCCAGAUUUUAUUGCCAUGGGAAGAGGGCAUACUACUUUGUGGGAUAAGAGGCUCUCGUGGCGAUCCCACAUAAGCCUUCGGAGUCCAAGACAUCACGGCUCAUCCUGAUGUAGCCGUCUUCUCCCCAACCUGCACCCCAUGAAUUCUUCACGAUCCAGAACAUGUCCUUAUCCGUGGUUCCAUAUCCGACCGCCAACACGCCAUGGUUGAGACUCGACCCACAGGGGCCGUCGAAGAUGCCAUGCGAGUAGAACUGGAAGCCGAAUCCGCCGGCGUCUAUUGCCACCGACACCGGCUGCUUCGCCACGGCCUCCAACAGGCUGUGCUCGCUCCUGGCGGUCACGGCUUUGUAGCCGGAAAUGGUGGAGACAUGGUCGUGGAGUUGGUUGCCUCUGCACUCUUCCUGGAAGCCUUUGUAAGGGUACUUGGACUCGGAAGUCAACCCAUGGUUGCUUCGGACGAACUCGAAGGCAUUUUGCAUGAACCCUCCACUGCAACCAUGGUUUUUCCCGUUGAUGUCACAGUCCACCAGCUCUUGCUCCGACAGCGGAAUCAGUUUGCCGGUCUUGAUGUAGGUGAUUCCCUCGAUCGCUGCCACCGCGGAGAAGGCCCAACAAGACCCUGCUCGCAUCAAGAACACCAUAAACACGAACAUCGACGAGUUCUACAGACGAGUUGUUGCAUAUCCUGAUGCUUACCGCAUUGACCUUGGUUCCUAACACCGGUGACGGCUCCCUUUUUCCUCCAAUCCAGGUGCUCGGGGACGUGACUUUUCAUGCUAUGCGAACUGUUCGACGAUAUGUCCACCGUUUCCACCUGAGACGACAGGUAGCCGGAGUUGAUUGCGGCAAAAUCCACAGCAUGACUUGUAUGCCGGUGAUGCAGUCGAUCACCUUUACAGGAGGAGGAGUAGUAGUCUGUGGGUCGUCGGUCAAGCACAUAUGCUUGGCUCUGAAUUCCUCGUUCGUCAUGUCCGCGAACCUGUUGUCAGUGAGCUUGUAGCCAUGGUCCUCGGCGUUGAACUUGCUGAUCUUUAGGAAGUUGGAUUGGUAGAUCUUGAAGCGCUGCUCCUUCUCCUUCUUGUCCUUGUAGGUGAGGCCAUGUCGAGCGAUCCAACCCUCGUACCGAUCUCUCACCGCGUCCCGGGAGACGGUGGAAGGUGGGCAGAGCGCGAAGAAGAGCGACAAGGCCAAGAAGCUGUUGAGGAGCUUGCCGUCGCCCAUGGCUGGCUCUGCGUUCACGUAAUGCUCUUGCGUCGAUCUGAUGAUAAAGCAAGCAUUCCUGGGGAAGCACAAAGUUCUCGUGGUCUGGGAGGUGAUUCCGCUCGCAGUUCAUGCAUCCGCAUAGCGAUGGAGCGUCGUGCGUCUCUCCCUCACCCAACCGCAACGGAUUGGCACAUUCAUUGCACGACAAAGAAAGAGGUGAUCUCUCUCUCCUCAGCACUCAUACAAGUAAUUGCUGCUGCAAUUACUGCAGCAUUGUGAUGGUGGCAUCUCUCCGCAUUGGAAGGCGAUCCUUAUAUUAUCUCUUUGUUCUUACGGUAACACAUCAAAUUAGACUUUUUAUCUCGGAAGAAGUAAGUCAAGACUUUGAUUGAUGAUUGGUAUAAUAACAAAAUUCACGAGUCAUAUCUAGUCCGAGAUGUAUUGAUUUAAUCUCACAACUUAAACAAGUCAUAUAUCCCUAAUUAGAUACAAUGAUAGAAGAAGUCAAUACAAUGACUUGGGUUAGGCUGAUGAUAAGGUUAGAUGUAAUCACCUCUAAUUUUAUGGUUUUCACUAAAAAUAUUAUUAUUAUUAUUAUUAUUAUUAUGUACCUCUUACUUAAUCAGUAUACAUUUAUUAAAAAUUUUAUUUCAACUGUUAAUACAUAUCUUCUACAUUUGACAUCUAAAGCACAACUUCAUUAAUCAAAAAAUAAAAACUUACAUUAUUAGAAAUCCUCUCACAUCUCUUUUCAUUUCAAUCUAUUUGCAGGUAGAUUCUCCUUUUUUUUCCUUUAAAUAAAUGAAAUAUAUUAUCAAUGUUUAAAAAAUAAUAAUAUCUCCUAAAAUUUUGAUUUUUGACGUAAAAGAAAAAGAAAAAAGAAAUAAAUUGUGAUGCAUGCUUUAGAUUCAAUUAGUUGUUUGAAUUUCAUAUCAUGAUAUGAAAAAUUAUACAAUGGUUUGCAUGAAUUUAGAUUAAUAAUUAACACUAAAUUAAUUGUUUGAAUCAUAUGACAUAAAAUUUGUAAACCCUAUUUAGUAAUUUUUCAGAAUGAUCAUAAUGUGGAUCAUUGAUUAGGGUCGAUAAUUAUUUUGAAUCAUGACAUUAAAAAAAAAAAUGGCCCCACCUUCAAUUGCCUAAUUGACAUGAGAGUGAUUUGGAGGGUGAGGUGACGUCCAGAGAAGUUUACCAUUUGCCCACAGAGAGGAUGAAGCUAUGGGAGCCUCCAAACCAAAUCUUAAAUCCAUGCACGUUAUCCCACUUCGCAAAGUCCAUCAACAGACCUUAUAAAUAGAUUUGAGUACGAUAAAGAUAUAAUUAAGAUGAUAAGAAGAGAUGGGAUGGGCAGCUUUAUAUAUAUAUAUAUAUAUAUAUAUAUAUAUAGUUCAUGCUUCAGCCCGUUGUUUCUUGGUCCUAAAGCGAGUCAGUCCUAUUCUGUGUGCAGUGCACCCCCUGGAUCACCGAUACCGUCCAACUCCUACCUGAUCUUAUCCUUGCAUCUUCACCUGUGCGUCCGUGGCUCGCUGCGAUAUAUAGUCUGCUUGCGCCACCGGCCACAAAGUAUUGGAGAAGCGAAAGAGAGAGUCAGAGAGAGAGAGAGAGAGCCAUGUCGAGCCUUGUCGACAUCUGGACGUUCGAGUUUGCGAAGCUGAGGGAGAAGAAGGCUGGAGGCGGUGCUACGACAGCAGACCCUCGUCGUCCGUGGCUAAGACGAGAGGAGCAGGAGGAUGUUGCCGGAGACAAGGGAGCGAUCAAGAGCGUGGCCUUCUCGGAAGCCACCGUUUGGAUGCUCAUGAACCGGUUCGCACCCUGCUGAGCAUGCGCAGGCUCUUCAACCGUGUGUAAUAGCAGCGUGGAUUUAGGAUCGUAGUUAGGGGUAUAUGUCAUUGCAUACGGAAAGAUGUGGAUUUGGAAUGCUAAUAAAUUAGAGAGCUAAUUGGAAUCUGGAGUUCGUGCAGUAUAAGAUCGUUAGAUGGGCAUAUUGCUGUGUCGAUUCUUUGAGGUUGCACAGAAGAGGAGCUGCAACACAAACUCCUUCCAAGUCUAACACGACGAUUAAGCCACUUGAAGAACCAGAAACAUACACCUCACCUGACAAAAACAUGAUCGUCGGAAGUUCCGCUGCCGAUAUAAGCUUUUGGUUGGCUCUAUAUAUCACAAUAAUAAAAGAGAGAAGGAUAAUUCUGUGGGUGCCUGCAAUGAUCUUAUCAGUGGAAAAUGACCCCACCGUACCAGAGAGACAUCAGCACCUGCAGCAUCUCAAACUGAUCUUGUCAUCACACACAGGUCAACAUAGAAGACACUUCCGUGACGUGAUUACAGUUUUGGCCAUGACUUGCGCAUGCCAAUCUUGGC
rnacentral:lncRNA from 1 species